AUUAAAGUACUCAUAUUUUUACACAUAACUGACUUUUAUGAUUAUAAUGGGCAAUUUCAUUUUGUGCUCCGUAUAGGUCCAAAGCAAAAUUUUCCCAUCUUUCAUGUGGCAAAGAAAGUAAACAGAUAUUAGACAAUUUAAUUUAUUUGACAGUUAUUAGUACAAACUAAAUUCAGUAGUCUUCAGUUUUAUUCUGUCUUCCACUAAUGUGUGAUCAGUAGUCAGUAAGAGAUGAAAUCCUUUUUACUUGGAACUAUCUUUUGAAAGGAGUCAAGAUCCAUCUCUUAUCCCUAGAGGGGGCUCCCUUGAAAAUUACUAUUAGUUAUCUAAGCACUGAUUUCUGUGUGUGUAAGUAGGUGUGUAUUAUUUACUCAAAUCUAUUAUUCUGUGUUAUGAGGACACCCCUGCUGUGUGUUUAUGACUUGUGGUCUUAUUUAGCAUUUGCAUAGCAAUUUCAUUUUAACAAAAGUCUGCUACAAUCAUUUUUAUUAGGUAUUCCUCACAGCACCCUGGUGGAAUAGAACAGCAUUUUUGUACUUAUUUUUUAGAUGAAGGACAGACUCAAGCAGCUUGGAAGAAUAACAAUUUUUUUAUUGAUCUACUUGGAAUUAAGAAAUGUGACUUCUGGUCUCAUUGUUUCACCAGAGGAGCUCACGGAAGAGCUGGGAGGAUUUGCGUUAAUAAAGAGCCCACGAGAGGCUGUAUAUAUACAACAUGACUCAAUACUGAUUUCUGUUACCUCAGUUUUCUUGGCCAUGGCUAAACAGUAAGUAAAGAUUGUUUUAUGAGGUGGUUUGGGGAUCCAGAAAGUAUCUAAAAAGAUACAAUAGAAAAUUCUUUAAUUCAAUGUAUUAUAAGACUCAUGUUUCAUAAUACUGAAGAAUCUGGAAACAGCAAUUAUAUACUUUUUUUGCCUUUUUCUGAACUAAAGCCAUCAGUUUGUUUUCAUCAUCAAAUUUACCUGAUAAUUUGACUUUAAUAUGAAUCACCAAAAUAUGCUCUUUGCCUGUGUGCUGCUUGAGAUAUUAUGACAAACGUACACGUUGAUACACAGGGUAUGAUGCUUUGUGGCAUGAUUAAUAAUAUAAAUAAAAU
rnacentral:lncRNA from 1 species